CCAUGUAAGACGUGCCUGCUUCUCCUUCAUCUUCUGCCAUAAUUAUGAAGAAAAGGAGGCUCAGAGAGUUUAAGAAACUUACCCUCCUCACACCAUGGAUAACAGGCAGAGCCAAAAGCAAAUGCAGAUGAAGACGUUGAUGCUCAAAAGUCGCUAAUGAGAAGCUGAGCCAAGAGUCAGAUCCAAAGUCCUUCCAGCUCUGAAGCCUGCAUUGUUUCCAACGCAUGAUGUUGUCUGAAUGGCUCAGUGAUGGCUUGGCUGAAGAAGACUUCAUGAUCACUCCCAUUUUGAAGAUCAGCACAUUGAGGUUCAGAGUGGUGAAAUGACUUGAAGUUCCUGUGGAGAGUAAAUGGGAAACAUCAGAGGAAUGAUUUGAACCCUGGUCUGUCCACCUUCAGUGCCCAUAUUUUGUCCUCCAUGCUUUGAAGCACAAAUCAUGAUUCAGGUGAAGAAAGAUAUUUUAAGAGCUAUGAAGAUUGCUGGUAUUCUCAACAACAAGAGCUCUGUGGUCACAUGUGAGUCUAGUUUGGGUUGUUGCUUUUCAAACUUAUUUGAUUACAAAACUAUAGAUGUCAAUUAUUUUGCAAAAUGCUUAGUGCUGGAGAUGAUGAGUGCCUAGAUGUAAGCAUCUGCUGCUGGGUUUUGCUUUCAGAAGACACAGAGAAAAAUACAAAUUUAUCAAACCUAUUAGCCUAAGAUUAUUGUUAUCAUGAAGCAUUUUUGUUUAUAAAAGUAUUUCCUUUAAUAAGCAUAAGCAUUAGCAGCCCCAUUCACCAACUGUCAACUUGGUGCCUACUCAGAGCAGUGCUUCUACACCCCGCCACCUCCUGCCAGCUGCUGGGGUCCCUGCUCCCUGCUCAGGAGCUCACUGUGGAAUGGAUCUGAAGGUGCAGCCUGGGCAUUGAGAGUUUCAAAAGCUCCCCACAUGGUCCUAACAUGCAGCCAGAAUUCAGAACUAUUGAUUUAGAUUGGUAGGGAGACUAGGAGAGUAGGGAAGAAGAAAUCCAUAGUCUAAAGGGUUAAGGAAGCUCUUAGAGUGACCAACCCAUUCCAGUUUGCCAGGGAUUGUUCUGAAUUGAAAACUGAAAAUCCUGUGUUUUGUGAAACCCCUCAGUCCCAGGCAAACCAGGGUGGCUGGUGACCCAUGGUACAUUUCCGGGUGUUAGGUAAAGACAAAGGCUCUCAAAUGACAAUCUUUGUCUAUGGGAAAUAGACAAAACCUCUCUUUAC
rnacentral:lncRNA from 1 species